rnacentral:rRNA from 1 species
GUAGGCUGCAACUCGCCUACAUGAAGUCGGAAUCGCUAGUAAUCGCGGAUCAGCAUGCCGCGGUGAAUACGUUCCCGGGCCUUGUACACACCGCCCGUCACACCAUGAGAGUUUGUAACACCCAAAGCCGGUGGGGUAACCUUUUGGAGCCAGCCGUCUAAGGUGGGACAGAUGAUUGGGGUGAAGUCGUAACAAGGUAAC